rnacentral:rRNA from 1 species
AUUGAACGCUGGCGGCAGGCUUAACACAUGCAAGUCGAGCGGAGCGAGGGUGCUUGCACCUUAGCUUAGCGGCGGACGGGUGAGUAAUGCUUAGGAAUCUGCCUAUUAGUGGGGGACAACAUUCCGAAAGGGAUGCUAAUACCGCAUACGCCCUACGGGGGAAAGCAGGGGAUCUUCGAACCUUGCGCUAAUAGAUGAGCCUAAGUCGGAUUAGCUAGUUGGUGGGGUAAAGGCCUACCAAGGCGACGAUCUGUAGCGGGUCUGAGAGGAUGAUCCGCCACACGGGGACUGAGACACGGCCCAGACUCCUACGGGAGGCAGCAGUGGGGAAUAUUGGACAAUGGGGGGAACCCUGAUCCAGCCAUGCCGCGUGUGUGAAGAAGGCCUUUUGGUUGUAAAGCACUUUAAGCGAGGAGGAGGCGCUCUAGGAUAAUACCCUAGAUGCGUGGACGUUACUCGCAGAAUAAGCACCGGCUAACUCUGUGCCAGCAGCCGCGGUAAAAC